rnacentral:rRNA from 1 species
GUCCACGCUGUAAACGAUGGGUGCUAGGUGUGGGGGUAUCGACCCCCCGUGCCGAAGCUAACGCAUUAACCACCCCGCCUGGGGAGUACGGCCGCAAGGUUGAAACUCAAAGGAAUUGACGGGGGCCCGCACAAGCGGUGGAGCAUGUGGUUUAAUUCGACGCAACGCGAAGAACCUUACCUGGGCUUGACAUCCCGAGAAUCCCCUGGAAACAGGGGAGUGCCCUUCGGGGAACUCGGAGACAGGUGCUGCAUGGCUGUCGU